rnacentral:rRNA from 1 species
UGGGGAAUCUUGGACAAUGGGCGCAAGCCUGAUCCAGCCAUGCCGCGUGAGUGACGAAGGCCUUAGGGUUGUAAAGCUCUUUUGCCGGGGACGAUAAUGACGGUACCCGGAGAAUAAGUCCCGGCUAACUUCGUGCCAGCAGCCGCGGUAAUACGAAGGGGACUAGCGUUGUUCGGAAUUACUGGGCGUAAAGCGCACGUAGGCGGAUUUGUCAGUCAGGGGUGAAAUCCCGGGGCUCAACCUCGGAACUGCCUUUGAUACAGCAAGUCUUGAGUCCGAUAGAGGUGGGUGGAAUUCCUAGUGUAGAGGUGAAAUUCGUAGAUAUUAGGAAGAACACCGGUGGCGAAGGCGGCCCACUGGAUCGGUACUGACGCUGAGGUGCGAAAGCGUGGGGAGCAAACAGGAUUAGAUACCCCCGUAGUCCCUGAGCGGGCUGGCAAGGCGCAU